UGGUGGAUAUUGCACAAUGGGCGAAAGCCUGAUGCAGCGACGCCUCGUGGGGGAUGAUGGCCUUCGGGUUGUAAACUUCUUUUGCUCUGAACAAGGCGCACCAUGGGGUGUGUUGAGUGUAGGGGUUGAUUAGCGCCGGCUAACUACGUGCCAGCAGCCGCGGUAAUACGUAGGGCGCGAGCGUUGUCCGGAAUUAUUGGGCGUAAAGGGCUUGUAGGUGGCUGGUUGCGUCUGUCGUGAAAGCUCAUGGCUUAACUGUGGGUUUGCGGUGGGUACGGGCUGGCUUGAGUGCAGUAGGGGAGGCUGGAAUUCCAGUUGUAGCGGUGAAAUGCGUAGAGAUCUGGAGGAAUACCGGUGGCGAAGGCGGCCCCCUGGAAAAAGACUGACGCUCAGGUGCGAAAGCGUGGGGAGCAAACAGG
rnacentral:rRNA from 1 species